rnacentral:rRNA from 1 species
UGGGGAAUAUUGGGCAAUGGGCGAAAGCCUUACCCAGCAACGCCGCGUGAGGGAAGAAGGUUUUCGGAUUGUAAACCUCUGUCCUGGGGGACGAAGGAAGUGACGGUACCCCGGGAGGAAGCCCCGGCUAACUACGUGCCAGCAGCCGCGGUAAUACGUAGGGGGCGAGCGUUGUCUGGAAUUAUUGGGCGUAAAGGGCGCGUAGACGGCCGAGUAAGUUAUAGGUGAAAGCCCAUCUUUCAAGGAUGGAAUUGCCUGUAAUACUGCUUGGCUUGAGUGCAGGAGAGGGAAGCGGAAUUCCUAGUGUAGCGGUGAAAUGCGUAGAUAUUAGGAGGAACACCAGUGGCGAAGGCGGCUUUCUGGACUGUAACUGACGUUGAGGCGCGAAAGCGUGGGGAGCAAACAGGAUUAGAUACC